rnacentral:rRNA from 1 species
AACAGGAUUAGAUACCCUGGUAGUCCACGCCGUAAACGAUGAGUGCUAGGUGUUAGGGGGGUCCAACCCCUUAGUGCUGAAGUCAACACAUUAAGCACUCCGCCUGGGGAGUACGACCGCAAGGUUGAAACUCAAAGGAAUUGACGGGGGCCCGCACAAGCAGUGGAGCAUGUGGUUUAAUUCGAAGCAACGCGAAGAACCUUACCAGGUCUUGACAUCCUCUGACAACCCUAGAGAUAGGGCUUUCCCCUUCGGGGGACAGAGUGACAGGUGGUGCAUGGUUGUCGUCAGCUCGUGUCGUGAGAUGUUGGGUUAAGUCCCGCAACGAGCGCAACCCUUGGUCUUAGUUGCCAGCAUUCAGCUGGGCACUCUAAGGUGACUGCCGGUGACAAACCGGAGGAAGGUGGGGAUGACGUCAAAUCAUCAUGCCCCUUAUGACCUGGGCUACACACGUGCUACAAUGGGUGGUACAAAGGGCUGCGAGACCGCGAGGUUAAGCGAAUCCCAUAAAGCCACUCCCAGUUCGGAUUGCAGGCUGCAACUCGCCUGCAUGAAGCCGGAAUUGCUAGUAAUCGCGGAUCAGCAUGCCGCGGUGAAUCCGUUCCCGGGCCUUGUACACACCGCCCGUCACACCACGAGAGUUUGUAACACCCGAAGUCGGUGAGGUAACCUUUUGGAGCCAGCCGCCGAAGGUGGGACAAAUAAUUGGGGUGAAGUCGUAACAAGGUAACC